CAUCAGCACAGCACGAUCCUCCUGUUCAUCAGCCAGAUGAUGAGAUACACGUGCAGGACGGAUCCGAGAGAGUAUGCCCCAGAUGCGGAUCCACAGUAGUACGAGAUGUGUGGCAGAUGCGUGAGGCCGAGAGAAUUAUUGUGGAGUGCAAUCAGCUAGGUCAGCCAAUUAAGAAAGCUGCCUGCUUAUUGACUUCAUUUUUGGAGACUGUUGCUCGAAGGCCUCAGCUAUGUCCAUUGGGCUAUGCAAAAUGGAAUGACAUGCUUCCAACGUACAAAGUUGAGCUCCUCCGAGUUAUAGAGAGCAAGUUUGUUCUCCCUCCAUCCACUCAUGAUUUUGUAAUAAAGUCUCUCAACCGCAAAUAGAAAGAAUAUAGAGCAUAAUUGAAGAGGGACUAUAUGAGAUAGGAUAUGACAGAGGAGGAGGUUGCUAGAAAUUGUCCUCCUGAUGUACC